rnacentral:rRNA from 1 species
GAUGAACGCUGGCGGCGUGCCUAAUACAUGCAAGUCGAGCGAACGGACGAGAAGCUUGCUUCUCUGAUGUUAGCGGCGGACGGGUGAGUAACACGUGGAUAACCUACCUAUAAGACUGGGAUAACUUCGGGAAACCGUAGCUAAUACCGGAUAAUAUUUUGAACCACAUGGUUCAAAAGUGAAAGACGGUCUUGCUGUCACUUAUAGAUGGAUCCGCGCUGCAUUAGCUAGUUGGUAAGGUAACGGCUUACCAAGGCAACGAUGCAUAGCCGACCUGAGAGGGUGAUCGGACACACUGGAACUGAGACACGGUCCAGACUCCUACGGGAGGCAGCAGUAGGGAAUCUUCCGCAAUGGGCGAAAGCCUGACGGAGCAACGCCGCGUGAGUGAUGAAGGUCUUCGGAUCGUAAAACUCUGUUAUUAGGGAAGAACAUAUGUGUAAGUAACUGUGCACAUCUUGACGGUACCUAAUCAGAAAGCCACGGCUAACUACGUG